GUCGUCAUUAUUAGAUAGUUUACUUUAAGCACGUGUUUGCAAAUCAUAUUGACAGCUGGUACGGUGAAAAAUGUGUAACCCGUAUCCCGUAUGAACUUUCCCCAUACCCAUUACAAUUUAGCCGUAUUAUUGAAUGUUUUCAUCAACUUAAAGCUGAAAGAUAGUCCAGAUCUCAUUCCAGAUCGGCAGAUGUUUAUAAUGACUUUAUUGUUUAAAUCAUAAAGAUCUGUGAAAUGAAGUUAAUUAACAAAUC
rnacentral:lncRNA from 1 species